rnacentral:rRNA from 1 species
GAACGCUGCGGCGUGCCUAAUACAUGCAAGUCGAACGCAUUUCUUUCACCGUAGCUUGCUACACCGAAGAAAAAUGAGUGGCGAACGGGUGAGUAACACGUGGGUAACCUGCCCAUCAGCGGGGGAUAACACUUGGAAACAGGUGCUAAUACCGCAUAAUUCCAUUUACUGCAUGGUAGAUGGAUGAAAGGCGCUUUUGCGUCACUGAUGGAUGGACCCGCGGUGCAUUAGCUAGUUGGUGGGGUAACGGCCUACCAAGGCUGCGAUGCAUAGCCGACCUGAGAGGGUGAUCGGCCACACUGGGACUGAGACACGGCCCAGACUCCUACGGGAGGCAGCAGUAGGGAAUCUUCGGCAAUGGACGCAAGUCUGACCGAGCAACGCCGCGUGAGUGAAGAAGGUUUUCGGAUCGUAAAACUCUGUUGUUAGAAAAGAACAAGGAUGAGAGUGGAAAGUUCAUCCCUUGACGGUAUCUAACCAGAAAGCCACGGCUAACUACGUG